rnacentral:rRNA from 1 species
GACCAGACUCCUACGGGAGGCAGCAGUGAGGAAUAUUGGUCAAUGGGCGGGAGCCUGAACCAGCCAAGCCGCGUGAAGGAAGAAGGCGCCAAGCGUCGUAAACUUCUUUUGUCGGGGAACAAAGGGCGCCACGUGUGGCGUUGUGAGUGUACCCGAAGAAAAAGCAUCGGCUAACUCCGUGCCAGCAGCCGCGGUAAUACGGAGGGUGCGAGCGUUAUCCGGAUUUAUUGGGUUUAAAGGGUGCGUAGGCGGUCCGGAAAGUCAGCGGUCAAAUUGCGGGGCUCAACCCCGUACUGCCGUUGAAACUGGCAGUCUCGAGUUGGAGAGAAGUAUGCGGAAUGCGCGGUGUAGCGGUGAAAUGCAUAGAUAUCGCGCAGAACUCCGAUUGCGAAGGCAGCAUGCCGGCUCCACACUGAUGCUGAGGCACGAAAGCGUGGGUAUCGAACAGGAUUAGAUACCCCGGUA